UUGGGUGACGAGUGGCGGACGGGUGAGUAAUGUCUGGGGAUCUGCCCGAUAGAGGGGGAUAACCACUGGAAACGGUGGCUAAUACCGCAUAACGUCGCAAGACCAAAGAGGGGGACCUUCGGGCCUCUCACUAUCGGAUGAACCCAGAUGGGAUUAGCUAGUAGGCGGGGUAAUGGCCCACCUAGGCGACGAUCCCUAGCUGGUCUGAGAGGAUGACCAGCCACACUGGAACUGAGACACGGUCCAGACUCCUACGGGAGGCAGCAGUGGGGAAUAUUGCACAAUGGGCGCAAGCCUGAUGCAGCCAUGCCGCGUGUAUGAAGAAGGCCUUCGGGUUGUAAAGUACUUUCAGCGGGGAGGAAGGCGAUG
rnacentral:rRNA from 1 species